rnacentral:lncRNA from 1 species
AUGUUGCGGCUUAUGCUUCUCUCCAAGAGAUCAAUUAGGUUUUUUACAAAGCGGUCAAGUAUAUGAUGGUGCUCAUGCUACCAGGCCUGAAUACUUUCUGAAGCACAGUUACAACAGAUGUAGCCAUGUAGGCAUUCCUGGUUUUGUUCUAAACAGAUGCUAAUGGGAGGAGGUGGAUAUUUUUCAGCUGAUGGUUUUGGAAAAUGAAUAUACUCACGCCGUUGUAUGUUUUUUUACACACGUAGCUUCUUCGUACUACAAUUAUCAACAGUAGCUAAUCGCAUGUUUGUAAAAUGUUUUAACAUGCCUUGCUUGAACUUUGAGUGCCUUUGUUUUGCUUUCACGUUAAUAAAACAAGAUU